GCCAGCAGCCAUAUCACCCUGUAGUCCAAGACUGGUUGCCCACUGAAGCUAAGCAGGGCUGAGCCUGGUCAGUACCUGGAUGGGAGACCUCCUGAGAAAAACUAGGUUGCUGCUGGAA
rnacentral:rRNA from 1 species